rnacentral:misc_RNA from 1 species
GCAAAACCUAUGUUAAUCGCUGGAGAACAGAAAUUGCAGAAUUUGUCAAUUCAUCAAUUCAAUACCGUCUAAUCAUCCUAUUGAAGUAAGCUGUUGCAGCAAGCAAUUCUUCAAAAUUCGUAACGUGCUUACCGGAUUCUUCUUCAUGUUGCAAAAGACUUCAAGAUUUUUUUAUCACAGUGAACUAAGCCGCUAUUGAAAUCAGAGGAAGAGAGAAUUGGAAGCUUCUGUAUUUUACUAUGGAAAACUGAAUACA